rnacentral:misc_RNA from 1 species
GUGGUAACCACUCUGGCUCCGAAUAUACAUUUGUGCGUCGGCAGUAUAUUAUUGUGAAGGCAGUUGUUUCAGUGUUGAACGUGAAAUAACUGCGCGCCGUCGGAACGAAAACACAUUUCCUGAUGACAGGACACAAGGCUUUCGCAAUGAUUUUUGUGCCACCAGUCAUUCGGUGUCGGAUUAUGUUUACAGUUUGAGAGGAAGCGAAUAACGAAACACAGCGUAACUGUGAGGAGACUGAACAGCACAGUCCAUUUCGUCCACUUGCUGCUUACACACUGAUGAAUGCGGUAGAGAACUGACUGAUGCAACAUGACCUUCAAAGUCUCCUUUUUGA